GGGUCUGUAGCUCAGUCUGGUUUCGAGCGCUGGUCUUAUAAGCCAGUGGUCGCGUGUUCAAAUCACGCCAGACCCA
rnacentral:tRNA from 1 species